AUACAGGCGGUCUGCCAGACGGGCAGCAGAUCAUUCUGUCGUCUGUUUGCUGCUGAAGCUCAUCGCAUCUCGUCUCAUCUCAUCUCAUCUCAGAACCCACACAGCUACAAUGCUCCUGGGUGCUUUGGCCUUCGUUGGUGCGGCAGUGGCAACCAUUAUAUACCCCGCUUCUCCACUGGUGGCAGCAGGUCUGACUGCACUGACUACCACUGGAGCUGCAACUGCCACUGGAGUUGCGGCUGCCACUGGAGUUGCGGCUGCCACUGGAGUUGCGGCUGCCACUGGAGUUGCGGCUGCCACCGUAGUUGCGGCUGCCACUGGAACUGCGACUACCACUGGAGCGAUAGUGGCUGCCAUCUUGUUAUGAAUAAAUCAUGGCUCCUUUUGUCGAAAUUGACAAUCCUGUUGCACAAUGUCAUUGAAAUCUACAAUGACAUCUCAGUGUUUCAGCAUAAUGUUAAUUUCCCUACACGAUUCUUGCUCCAUUGUUCAGCUUAUUAAAGAAAAGAGUUUG